CCAAUUGAAGACAAGGAGUUGAUCUCAUAUAUGCUACGAGGACUUGGAUCUGAGUAUGAUCCUUUGGUGACAAGCAUCACCACGUGCACCGAUCCCGUCACUGUCUCCGAUGUCUACGCCCACAUGCAUAGCUUCGAGU